UACGGGGGGGGGCAAGCGUUGUUCGGAAUUACUGGGCGUAAAGGGCGCGUAGGCGGUCUUGUAAGUCUCGUGUGAAAUCCCUCGGCUUAACUGAGGAACUGCACGGGAUACUGCAUGACUUGAGGUCGGGAGAGGGAAGCGGAAUUCCGGGUGUAGCGGUGAAAUGCGUAGAUAUCCGGAGGAACACCGGUGGCGAAGGCGGCUUCCUGGACCGACUCUGACGCUGAGGCGCGAAAGCUAGGGGAGCAAACGGGG
rnacentral:rRNA from 1 species